GUCUCGAUUACGUUCCCGAUGCGAGCAAACUGAGAAAUGGCAAUCGUUACAGCAUUGAAACCUCAAUCAAUGCCCACUACUUUAACUUCAAUGCUUCUACUUUUUCUUCAAGCUCUCGCAUGGCGUCUAUCCAUUUGGUCUGCCUUUACUCGCAAAACUCUAAAUCUCUGUCACAAAAUCCUGUAACGGCUAAGCAACAACUCCAUUUCUUUGAGAUCAGGGCAGGCCCCUUCGGUUCUGGCCUUUCUGGGAAGCUCGCAAUGUCAAGAAAGGUGGAGAUUUGAUUCGUAUGGAUCUGGUCCUGCUUGAUGGAAAGUAACUGAGACAUUCUUUUUUCUUAAUUCUUGAUUCCUAUAUUUUUUGAUGUUGUAUUUUGUGAUCGAAACUCUGUUUUGUGCUGUUUGGUUCAAAUGAUCUGUUGCCCAUUAUCUAUUGCCUCUGUCUAUGAUGUUACCAUGCUACUUCUCUCUCAUUUUUUAUAUUAUUGAUUUUGCUAGAGAUUUCGAUGUUCCAGGCUGUUGUGGUUUCUCAGCGAAACUGAAAGUUUUCCCGAGUUUUUCUUUCUUUUUUAUUCUCUAGGAGUUUCUGCUGGUUGCUAUUUUUGAUGUACUUAUGAAACUUUAUCUUUUGAUUCUGUAUACUUCUGAAAAUGUACCACAUAUUACUCUUUUGUUCAUAGUAAACUCUGAUUCAUCGAGCAGGUAAAACUUCGCAUAUAUAGUUGGUGAAAAUAUGGGUUUAAAGACGACACACAAUGAAGAAACGCAAAAAAAAAAAAAAAAAAAAAAAAACGUCUCAUGAAUCAUGGCAACCAUACACAUUUACAGGUCAUACCAUUUUAUUUCCAUUUCUUUUUUCAAACUUUCUACAAUAAGGGGUUGUAUAGUUUUUUUUUUAAUCAGUUCGUUUCUAAAUCCUUGACAAUGCAUGACCACUAACAUAUGUGUGAGUGUUUUUGACGGGAUAGAUGUACAACUUCAUGUAAGUUGUUUGCGGCUGGUGUGGCCAGCCACUGAUUGUUGUAGCAACUAAUUUUAAUCCUAAACUGGUUGGAGGCCGCUGACAGGAAGACCUACAGAACAUGGCGCUUCCACAAUGCCUUGCUGAUAUUGUGGGGAGGACCUUCACAUUCCAGCUCAAUCUUACAAAUUUUAAUUUCUUAGCAAAGAUCAGUCUUUCACGAUCUCACACAUAUUUGAUAGCAACCAGCCCCUACCUCUCCCUAAUUUUGAGAACCAGGAAGGACACAACAACCCAGGCGAUGAUGUGCGAGGAGCUGGUCCGGUUUCACAGAUUUCUCCAGCUGGUGUUCACAUAGUUCUUCCUGACACUAGCACGGUGUUGACAAUGUUGUUCCUGCUAACAUCAGAGGCAUCACCGAACUAUCUUCAAAUGAUGCCUCAGUUAAGGAAGGUGGCUCCUCUACAAAGAAGUAACGUCGUGGCUAAAUCUGCAAUAUUGUACUCCAUCCAGAUAGAAAGUGGUCCUACAACUACUCUAUUGUCUCUUCUUUUAAAAUUUUCUUGAAAUAAUAAAAGUAUAUUCAUGCAGCAAUCUGCUUCCGUAUUUUUGAGUGUUUGGUUUUAAACAGUAUUAUGUUCUCUGGAAGGAAACUCUUUUUUUAUCA